AGUACUGGUCAUUGAUUCAAGUAAUUUUUUUGACAUUUGUGUAUAAAGUGUUUUAAUUCUACAAUAUAUGGUGUAAAAACGUCUGAGUGCUGCCCUCUUCAGGUUGAACGGUGGCUACUGCAGUUGAAUUUUCCUAUUGGCUGUUGCGGUACUUCGUGACGUAAGCGGUGACAGCUGACGUAAGCAGGUUCCAGCUCACCACGCCAGAUUCAUGUACAUGUCGUCUUGCGACCGUGUGAGGAAUAAUAAUAACAUAGAGUCUGACAGCAGCUGUCAAUUAAUCCGUCACUACGAGACUCAGGUGGAGUUUUUCAUGCAGGAAAUAUAUGAUAAAAGAAAUAUUUGUGUCUUGCCUGCACAACCCUCACCUUCAACAAGCUAACUGAUGGGGUAGAUCUGGGCCCCGUCCGGCGGUCAGAGGGAGUUGUGCCCGGAACCGUCAUGUCCUGCCGGAGAUAGGAGGCAGGGGCGAGGAGCCUACCCCCAUGCGGGACCGGGCUCAACCUGUUGUGGUGUGGUGGUGGAGGUUGCCGUGUUAGCACACUGAAUCAGCAGUGUGAUAGAUUGUACAACAUUGUCAUUUUUGGAGCAGUGGAUGGAUACUCCAGGAAGAUAUUGUGCUUGAAUGCUGCAACAAAUAACCUUGCAUCGACAGCCCUUUGCUUCCUCAAAGAGCCAACUGAAUGACAUGGUGUACCCUCAAGAAAAGAUUGGAUGCGCUCUGUCUGACUGAAACCUGGAGGAGGUGUUGCUACAACUUACAGUGAAGUGUUUGGUGUUACUCAGAGGACAGGAUAUAAAUUCCGUGUUCCUUCGAUGUUUCCGUCGGUGAGCCAAUGCCAGAAGCCUCGAACGUCGGUGAGCCUGCGCCUGUUGCCUCGACCGUCCCAGAGCCAGCGCCUGUAGCCUCAACCGUCCCAGAGCCAGCGCCUCUCGACCAUUCCAGAGCCAGUGCCUCUCGAGCCUCCCAGAGCCAGCGCCUCUCGAGCCUCCCAGGGCUCCGCCUCUCGGGCCUUCCCGGGCUCUGCCUCUCGAGCCAUCCUUACAAGUAUUUGGGUGUAUAUCUGAACAACAAGCUCAACUGGUCUGAUAAUAUGAUGUAUGUUUAUAAGAAGGGUCAAAGUCGUAUCCAUUUGUUAAGAGGACUGAGAUCCUUUGGGGUACGUCAGGUACUACUAAAGAUAUUCUAUGAUUCUGUAGUCUCAUCUGUGAUUUUGUACUCUAUCACAUGUUGGGGAGGGGGACUGUUGGAAAAGGAGAAGAAUAAGUUAAACAAACUCAUUAAGAAGGCAGGCUCUGUCGUGGGGUGUGUGUUACCCUCUUUAGAUGAGAUAGUGCAGGCUAAAAUGAUUGGGAAACUUUCUCUUAUGAAUAAUCAUGACUGUCAUCCUCUUAAUGAAAUAUUUGGAGCUUUUGUGAGUACCUACAGCUCAAGAUUAAUUAAUCCACGCUGCUACAAAGAGCGUUUUAGAAAGUCUUUUUUCCCAACUGGGAUUAGAUUUUAUAACCAGUGCUAUAUAAGAUGAUAUAUAGAUAAUGGUCGUAUAUAAUCAUAAUGCUUUGAUGAAAUUGAUAUUUGAGAACAAGACUUGUUGUUGUUGUGUAUGUUGUCUGUUGUUGUUGUUGCUUAUUUAUUCGUUGUGUUUUUGUGCUGUUGUGACAUAUGAAUUUCCCCUUGGGGAUUAAAAAGUAAAUCAAAUCAAAUCAAAUCCAGGGCUCCGCCUCUCGAGCCUCCCAGGGCUCCGCCUCCCAGUGCUCCGCCUCCCGAGCCUCCCAUGGCUCCGCCGACCACGGCUCCGCCUCCAGAGCCUCCCAUGGCUCCACCUUCCACGGCUCCGCCUCCAGAGCCUCCCUUAGCUCCGCCUCCUGAGCCUGCUACGACGUCGCCUCCUGAGCCUCCCUCAGCUCCGCCACCUGAGCCACCCAUAGCUCCACCACCAGAAACAUCCAUGGUCCACCUACCUUGGCUCUGCCCUUGGAGUACCCCAUGGCUGUGGUCCUGAGGCCGACUCCCAGACCUCCCAAACCUGUCCUGUGGCCGACUCCCAGGCCUCCAGACCCUGUCCCUGUCCUGUGGCCAGCUCCCAGGCCUCCUGAACCUGUCCUUGCCCCGUGGCCGACUCCCAGGCCUCCAGACCCUGUCCUUGCCCUGUGGCCAGCUCCCAGGCCUCCUGAACCUGUCCUUGCCCCGUGGCCAGCUCCCAGGCCACCUGACCCAGUCCCCAUCUUGUGCUCCCCAUGGACUGCCUGUCUGCCCCUUGUGCCCCCUCGGACUGUCUGGUUGCCCCUUGUGCCCCCUUGGACUGUCUGGUUUCCCCGUGUGCUCUCCUUGGUCUG